UCAGAGUUACCAGGAAACGCAGGUUCAUAGUGGAUCAGGCUCCACCUUGUCCAGUAUUCUGUCUCCAGAAGGAGCCUGCACAAGAUGCCCCAGAGGAAGGUACAAGGAACCCUUUGCUGGAUCGAUAUGGGAGAACCUGCCCUUAGAGAAAAUGUAUUUCUACGUCCCCCUCAUUCGACAUUAUUUUACACCCUGGAGCAGGAAGUUUACCUCCUAUACUCACUCAAAUAAUAUUUUAAUUGACCCCCUCAGUUUUUAUUUUGGAUAAAACUAAGUGACCUUAAAAAAACCCAAACAAACAAAUAAAACAUCCUCUCUACAACGUCAAAUGUGGAGCCCAGACCGACUGAAGCUUUCCAUCUGCUCUGCGACGUAUUCCCCACUGCUUAACAGAUUUGCACACAAGGGGCCGCUGUUACCGCUGCAAGACCUAUUCCAUUUGUCUGCGGCACAGAGCCUGUUUCCUUUCAUCCGCAGCUUCCUGUAAUUCUUCUCCUCAGGCACGGUCAGAAAAAGUUCAAGGUCUCUCGCAGACAGAAAAGAGACACAAGCAUACAACUAGCACCGCUGCUAAGCUAUUGCAAAAGCAGAAAUAUAAUAUUUUUAAAGGCAUCGCAUCCAAAGCAAACUUUUGUCUUUGCUCUUCUGUGCAUCAGGGAAAGAAAAGGACACAGCUGUGGAUGUGGGAAAAGGGCAGAUUUUGCAAAAUUAUUAAACAACAAAUUGUUAAAACGGCCAUGCCGCUCUCUUUCUCCUUCGUGGUUUUGAUAUUUUUUUGUUCAAAAAGGACAGAUGCAGACUCAGUAACUCAGCCAGAAGGCACCGUUCCCAUCCAUGAAGGAAAACCUGUGCUUCUUUAUUGCACCUAUGAUUACUCUGGGUCUCCUGUACUCUACUGGUACGAGCAGUAUCCCCAUGAAGCCCCUCGCCUGUUGCUGACACAAUAUGGAGCCUCGGACGAGGAGGAGAAGAGACGCAGGCGAGGGUUCUCUGCUAAACUGGAGAAAGACUCCAAAUCCUUCCACCUGGAGAAAAACUCCAGCGAAGUGAGCGACUCUGCUGUCUACUACUGUGCCAUGAGAGACACAGUGAGCAAAGCCACCUGGGAGCCGAACAAAAACCUCCCUGACUGACAGAAACACAAAGGGCUGAAAUAGCCGAGAUUUCGCGUGUCAAGACCUCAGAAUGCAAUCUCUAUUCCUUCAUAUCUUUGUUUUAUUCUUCACCUUCUUCCCGCCCCUCGCUCUUUUUUUUUACCCUAGCCCUGGGUAGCAUUUGGAUUACAAUUAGGAGUCAGGGAUUAAAGGUUAUUACGGUUUUAUCUAACGUAGGUUAAAUGUAUGUGUAUCAUUGAGGUUAAGGAUUAGGGUUGGAAUACCAGUCAGUUUAAGGAUUAGGGUUAGAGUUAACGCUUUGGGUUGGGGCACAGCCGGGAGCUAGAGGGGUGGAGAUUAGAGUUACACCGAUUAAGGGGGAUGGGGGGCAAACUUUGUGUCCUGAGGCCCACACUGGGGUUCCAAAACUGUAUGGAGGGCCGGGUAGGGAAGGCUGUGCCACCCCAAACAGCCUGGCCCUCGCCCCCUAUCGGCCCCUCCCACUUCC